GCUAGCGGCAUGCUAUCCAUGCUUAUCGAACGGUAACAGCGGAGAUGAUCCUUUCGGGGUGAAUUUCCGGCUGACGAGUGGCGGACGGGUGAGUAAUGCAUAGGAAUCUGCCCUUUAGUGGGGGAUAACCCGGGGAAACCCGGGCUAAUACCGCAUAAGUCCUACGGGAGAAAGCGGGGGAUCUUCGGACCUCGCGCUGAAGGAUGAGCCUAUGUCUGAUUAGCUUGUUGGUGGGGUAAAAGCCUACCAAGGCGACGAUCAGUAGCUGGUCUGAGAGGACGGACAGCCACACUGGGACUGAGACACGGCCCAGACUCCUACGGGAGGCAGCAGUGGGGAAUAUUGGACAAUGGGCGCAAGCCUGAUCCAGCAAUGCCGCGUG
rnacentral:rRNA from 1 species